AAAUAUGAUGAUCGCAAAUACAAAGAGUCAAGCACUGAAACGCGAUAGCGUCUUGUUGAGUUAUUUGGUCUGA
rnacentral:snoRNA from 1 species